ensembl:snRNA U6 U6 spliceosomal RNA
GUGCUUGUUUUGGCCGCACAUAUACUAAAUUUGGAAUGAUACAGAGAAGAUUAGCAUGGCCCCUGAACACGGAAGACAUACAAAUUCAUGAAACAUUCCAUAUUUUU